GGAGUUGUAGCUCAGUGGUAGAGCGCUUGCCUAGCAUGCAUGAGACACUGGGUUUAAUCCCUGGCACCUUCU
rnacentral:tRNA from 1 species